rnacentral:rRNA from 1 species
UACGAAGGGGGCUAGCGUUGCUCGGAAUCACUGGGCGUAAAGCGCACGUAGGCGGCUUUUUAAGUCAGGGGUGAAAUCCUGGAGCUCAACUCCAGAACUGCCUUUGAUACUGGGGAGCUCGAGUCCGGGAGAGGUGAGUGGAACUCCGAGUGUAGAGGUGAAAUUCGUAGAUAUUCGGAAGAACACCAGUGGCGAAGGCGGCUCACUGGCCCGGUACUGACGCUGAGGUGCGAAAGCGUGGGGAGCAAACAGG